rnacentral:lncRNA from 1 species
CGUGGUUCAAGUGACCUCAUGAUUAAAUUCAAUAAAUUUAGAACACUGAACAAAAUGCCAUAUCAAACAAUUAUAUGAAUUCUCAAAGGUUUACUCUAAAGGCAUAUGGAAAAGGAACUGGGGAAUAACAAUAGAAGACACCUCAGCUCAAGAGGAAAGGUUUUGCUGGCAUUUCUAUGAUGUUGCCCUUGGAGAAUGAAGGAUCAAUGACUGGGCAGACAAUGGAUCCUUCUCCUCCUUUCCUCAUGCAAGAUGUGAUAAUUGAGAUGAGAGUUAGCAGGAAGGAAACAGAAUGAAUCAAGGCCCCACACUACAAGAAGGAUGUGGAAAAACUGGAAGGAGUCUAGCGGAGGGCAACAAAAAUGAUUAGAGGGCUGGAGCACAUGACUUAUGAGGUGAGGCUGAAGGAACUGGGAUUGUUUAAUCUGCAGAAGAGAAGAAGGUCAGGCUUGGCGAAGCCCUGGCUAGGAUAAUUUAGUUGGGGAUUGGUCCUGCUUUGAGCAGGGGGUUGGAUUAGAUGACCUCCUGAGAUCCCUUCCAACCCUGAUAUUCUAGGAUUCUAUGAAGGUAAGUUAUUUUUCCUCAAAAACUUGAGGGUUGUUAAGAGACCAUGUCACUGUGGGAAAAGGCCUGUGUCCACCUGAGAUCAAAAGAAUGAUAGUUUAAAAAGACACUCUCUCUCUCUCUCUCUCUCUCUCUACGUAAGGUAA